GAUGAACGCUGGCGGCGUGCCUAAUACAUGCAAGUCGAGCGAACGGACGAGAAGCUUGCUUCUCUGAUGUUAGCGGCGGACGGGUGAGUAACACGUGGAUAACCUACCUAUAAGACUGGGAUAACUUCGGGAAACCGGCGCUAAUACCGGAUAAUAUUUUGAACCGCAUGGUUCAAAAGUAAAAGACGGUCUUGCUGUCACUUAUAGAUGGAUCCGCGCUGCAUUAGCUAGUUGGUAAGGUAACGGCUUACCAAGGCAACGAUGCAUAGCCGACCUGAGAGGGUGAUCGGCCACACUGGAACUGAGACACGGUCCAGACUCCUACGGGAGGCAGCAGUAGGGAAUCUUCCGCAAUGGGCGAAAGCAUGACGGAGCAACGCCGCGUGAGUGAUGAAGGUCUUCGGAUCGUAAAACUCUGUUAUUAGGGAAGAACAUAUGUGUAAGUAACUGUGCACAGCUUGACGGUACCUAAUCAGAAAGCCACGGCUAACUACGUG
rnacentral:rRNA from 1 species